CUAAAGAACACGUUUGACAUCAGCACCUAAAAUCAUUCAUCAGAAGGACUCAAGGUGGCGUUAGAACCAGACACAGCAUCCUGGCUCAAGGUGGCGUUAGCAGAAUCAUCAUCCUGGCUCAAGGUGGCGUUAGCAGAAUAAUCAUCCUGACUCAAGGUGGCGUUAGCAGAAUCAUCAUCCUGGCUCAAGGUGGCGUUAGCAGAA